GCUUUUAAAGGAUGGCAGUUAUCCGUUGGUCUUAGGAGCCAAAAAAUUGGUGCAACUCCAAAUAAAAGCA
rnacentral:tRNA from 1 species